GAAGAAACAGCAGGCUGGAGCAGAAAGAGGCAGGAUAGCAAGAAAUAGCAGGCUGGAGCAGAAAGAAGCAGGUGUACACAGAUAUAUAAGCACACAGGCACAAGCUUGUUCUAGCUGCUCCUAGUUGUGUGUAAGGGUGCUGACUGUGAAUCAAGUGGGAGCAGAGACACCUGGAACAGGGAAAGGAUUUGGAGAAGAAGCAUCUAUAUUGUCACCGUUGGCUCAGGAAGACCAGUACUUCUGAUUCAAGGGUCUGCGGGGAAGCUAAGGGUGGAAUGGUUCUAGAGAUGCUGAAGACUGCAGGGACAAAAGAGGGAGAGGCAAGAGGAAGGACACAGUCAAAUGUGAAAUGACAGAAAGGCUCAAGCUGCAAGAAGGCAACCUGCAGUGGAUUACUGAGCCAGCUGCCGUUCUGCUGGAGGGAUGACCGACUUCUAACACUUCCUCCGCGCUCCACCCCCACUCUUUGGUUCUUGGUGUCAACAGGGCUCAAAGUGUUUAAAUUCUUUUACACACAGUCCUCCUUCACACCAGCCGUACAACAAGGCGGACUGUUAAGGGUGAAUAUGCUGGAAGCGGUUAAUUCUGAAGAGCACUUUUUGUUGUUGGGUUUUGCAUCUGAAAAGAUUUAGUCUAUUGCGUUUGAAUGUUUGCGGGGACUGAAGAAUUUUCUGUGGCCAAAGUAGUAAUUCUUUGCUGGGUUAGAACGAAAACACACAUACAAAAAAAAUGAAUGUUUGUUAUUUUUCUCCUUAUAUUUGAUCAAGUGUAUUACAUCCUGCCUUGUCUUGUACAUAGCAGUCACAAUAGCACCUACUGGUCUCACUGAGAGAUUGAAGCUCCACUGUGUGAGGUAGUGGACACAAGGCUGAUGAAAAUCAGGCUUCUCUUCUGUAAAGAUUUUGUCCCCUAAAUAAAGGUGGAUCAG